AGAGUUUGAUCAUGGCUCAGGACGAACGCUGGCGGCGUGCUUAACACAUGCAAGUCGAGCGGAAAGGCCCCUUCGGGGGUACUCGAGCGGCGAACGGGUGAGUAACACGUGAGCAACCUGCCCCCGACUCUGGGAUAAGCCCGGGAAACUGGGUCUAAUACUGGAUAUGACCACUCCAGGCAUCUGGUGGUGGUGGAAAGUUUUUCGGUUGGGGAUGGGCUCGCGGCCUAUCAGCUUGUUGGUGGGGUGAUGGCCUACCAAGGCGACGACGGGUAACCGGCCUGAGAGGGCGACCGGUCACACUGGGACUGAGACACGGCCCAGACUCCUACGGGAGGCAGCAGUGGGGAAUAUUGCGCAAUGGGCGGAAGCCUGACGCAGCGACGCCGCGUGGGGGAUGACGGCCUUCGGGUUGUAAACCCCUUUCAGCAGGGACGAAGCUAACGUGACGGUACCUGCAGAAGAAGCGCCGGCUAACUACGUGCCAGCAGCCGCGGUAAUACGUAGGGCGCAAGCGUUGUCCGGAAUUAUUGGGCGUAAAGAGCUCGUAGGCGGUUUGUCGCGUCUGUCGUGAAAGCCCACGGCUUAACCGUGGGGUCUGCGGUGGAUACGGGCAGACUAGAGGCAGGUAGGGGAGAAUGGAAUUCCCGGUGUAGCGGUGAAAUGCGCAGAUAUCGGGAGGAACACCGGUGGCGAAGGCGGUUCUCUGGGCCUGUACUGACGCUGAGGAGCGAAAGCGUGGGGAGCGAACAGGAUUAGAUACCCUGGUAGUCCACGCCGU
rnacentral:rRNA from 1 species